rnacentral:sRNA from 2 species
GAAAACAGUUAGCCUAAUCCAGUGGUGUCUGUGUUGAGGAGUUCAAGACUUUAGUAAAACUGGAGCGGAGGAACCAAAAUCUGGGGCUUAUCUGGUUUAAAGAUGAAUUAGCAAGAACGAGUAUCGAGUUCAGAUCUUCAUAAUUCAUCCUUGACAAGAAGAACAUCUCUCAGUUCUAGCCCGUCAGCUAACUCCGUAGGCGUUGAGAGGAGACUGA